rnacentral:rRNA from 1 species
AGGAAGCAAUUAAGGGCGUACGGGGAAUGCCUUGGCUCUCAGAGACGACGAAGGACGUGGUAAGCUGCGAUAAGCUGCGGGGAGGUGCAAACGACCUUUGAUCCGCAGAUGUCCGAAUGGGGCAACCCAUCAUGUUGAAGACAUGAUAUCCCGCAAGGGAUGGCAACCCAGGGAACUGAAACAUCUAAGUACCUGGAGGAGAAGAAAAUAAUAAUGAUUCCGUAAGUAGUGGCGAGCGAACGCGGAACAGCCUAAACCGUAAUACUUGUAUUGCGGGGUUGUAGGACCGGCACAAUGUGCAACAUCAGAAGUGGAAUAUGCCUGGAAAGCAUAACCGUAGGGGGUGAUAGUCCCGUACACGCCAUGAUGUUGUUCAGGCCGGGAUCCUGAGUAGGGCGGGACCGGUGAAAUCCUGUCUGAAUCUGCCGGCACCAUCCGGUAAGGCUAAAUACUCCUGAGAGACCGAUAGUGUACCAGUACUGUGAAGGAAAGGUGAAAAGCACCCCAAGAAGGGGAGUGAAAAGACCCUGAAACCGUACGUCUACAAGCGGUCGGACCACUUCGGUGGAACGGCGUGCCUUUUGCAUAAUGAGCCUACGACUUAUUUCUGACUAGCAAGUUUAACCUCUUCAGGAGGGCAAGCGCAGCGAAAGCGAGUCUGAACAGGGCGCCCCAGCUAGUCGGAAUAGACGCGAAACCGAGUGAUCUACCCAUGGGCAGGUUGAAGUCCCGAUAGUCUCGGGAUGGAGGACCGAACUAGUAAGCGUUGAAAAGCUUUUGGAUGACCUGUGGGUAGGGGUGAAAGGCUAAUCAAACUCGGAGAUAGCUCGUACUCCCCGAAAUGCAUUUAGGUGCAGCGUCAGUUUGAGUGUCAUGGAGGUAGAGCUACCAAUAGGGCUAGGGGGCUUCACCGCCUACCAACCCCUGAUGAACUCCGAAUACCAUGACUCUGCUCUGGCAGUGAGGCUACGGGUGCUAAGGUCCGUGGCCGAGAGGGGAACAACCCAGACCAACAGCUAAGGUCCCCAAGUGUGGGCUAAGUUGAUCAAACGAGGUGGGAAUGCACUGACAGCUAGGAUGUUUGCUUGGAAGCAGCCAUUCAUUUAAAGAGUGCGUAACAGCUCACUAGUCGAGCGUUCCUGCGCGGAAAAUAAUCGGGCAUCAAGCCCACCACCGAAGCUUUGGACUUUCCGUCUUAACGGAAUUUGGUAGGGGAGCAUUCCAGUCUGCACAGAAGUCGUAUCGUGAGAUGCGGUGGAGCGGCUGGAAAAGCAAAUGUAGGCAUGAGUAACGAUAAUGAAGAUGAGAAAUCUUCACGCCGCAAGACUAAGGGUUCCUUGAUCGAUGUUAAUCAGAUCAGGGUUAGUCGGGUCCUAAGGAUAAGCCGAAAGGCGAUGCCGAUGGCAAACGGGUUAAUAUUCCCGUACCUGUAUAGACUGCGAUGGGGUGACGAAGAGGCGUAAGGGUCGCGUACUGACGGAAUAGUACGUUGAAGCGUUUAGGCUGUGAUGGCAGUUGGUAAAUCCGCUGCCUGAGCUGAUGCGCAAUAGUACACCCAGUCCUCCGGGACAAGGUGAUAGUGCCCCCAAGCUGGCUUCCAAGAAAAACCUCUAAGCUUCAGGUCUAUACAGCCCGUACCGUAAACCGACACAGGUAGUCGAGGAGAGUAUCCUAAGGCGCUCGAGUGAUCCAUGGCUAAGGAACUAGGCAAAUUUGACUCGUAAGUUCGCAAGAAGAGUCCCCCCGAGCAAUCGGGGGCGCAGUGAAAAGGCCCAGGCGACUGUUUAACAAAAACACAGGACUCUGCUAAAUCGAAAGAUGAUGUAUAGGGUCUGACACCUGCCCGGUGCCGGAAGGUUAAGGAAGGGGGUUAGCGCAAGCGAAGCUCUUGACUGAAGCCCCGGUAAACGGCGGCCGUAACUAUAACGGUCCUAAGGUAGCGAAAUUCCUUGUCGGGUAAGUUCCGACCUGCACGAAUGGUGUAACGAUCUGGGCACUGUCUCGGCCAUGAGCUCGGUGAAAUUGAAGUAUCGGUGAAGAUGCCGAUUACCCGCAACGGGACGGAAAGACCCCGUGAACCUUUACUAUAGCUUCACGUUGGGCUUGGGUAUAAAAUGUGUAGGAUAGGUGGGAGGCUACGAAGUUUCGACGCCAGUCGGGAUGGAGCCGUCCUUGAAAUACCACCCUUUUUAUACUUAGGUUCUAACUCCCUCCGGGAGGACAGCGUGUGGUGGGUAGUUUGACUGGGGUGGUCGCCUCCUAAAAAGUAACGGAGGCUCGCAAAGGUACCCUCAGCACCGUUGGUAAUGGUGCGCAGAGCGUAUGAGUAUAAGGGUGCUUGACUGAGAGAUCGACGGAUCGAUCAGGUGCGAAAGCAGGCUCAAGUGAUCCGGUGGUUCCGCAUGGAAGGGCCAUCGCUCAAAGGAUAAAAGGUACUCCGGGGAUAACAGGCUGAUCUCCCCCAAGAGCUCACAUCGACGGGGAGGUUUGGCACCUCGAUGUCGGCUCGUCACAUCCUGGGGCUGGAGAAGGUCCCAAGGGUUGGGCUGUUCGCCCAUUAAAGUGGCACGCGAGCUGGGUUCAGAACGUCGCAAGACAGUUCGGUCCCUAUCUGUUGCGGGCGUAGGAAUAUUGCGGAGAUCUGCUUCCAGUACGAGAGGACCGGAGUGGACGCACCGCUAGUGUACCUGUUGUGGCGCCAGCUGCACCGCAGGGUAGCUAUGUGCGGAAAGGAUAAGCGCUGAAAGCAUCUAAGCGCGAAGCCAACUCCUAGAUGAGUAUUCCAUCCACCUUCGGGUGGGAAAGGGUCGUGGAAGAUGACCACGUUGAUAGGCUACAGGUCGAAGUACAGCAAUGUAUGCAGCCGAGUAGUACUAAUUACCCGAAUGCUUCCUUUU